rnacentral:rRNA from 2 species
GUCGAGCGCACAGGUUUACCUGUGAGCGGCAGACGGGUGAGUAACGCGUGGGAAUCUACCUUAAGCUGCGGGAUAACAGAGAGAAAUUUCUGCUAAUACCGCAUGUGCCCGAAAGGGGAAAGAUUUAUCGGCUUAAGAUGAGCCCGCGUUGGAUUAGCUGGUUGGUGGGGUAAAGGCCUACCAAGGCGACGAUCCAUAGCUGGUCUGAGAGGAUGAUCAGCCACACUGGGACUGAGACACGGCCCAGACUCCUACGGGAGGCAGCAGUGGGGAAUAUUGGACAAUGGGCGCAAGCCUGAUCCAGCCAUGCCGCGUGAGUGAUGAAGGCCUUAGGGUUGUAAAGCUCUUUCACCGGAGAAGAUAAUGACGGUAUCCGGAGAAGAAGCCCCGGCUAACUUCGUGCCAGCAGCCGCGGUAAUACGAAGGGGGCUAGCGUUGUUCGGAAUUACUGGGCGUAAAGAGCGCGUAGGCGGAGAGAUAAGUCAGGGGUGAAAUCCCGGGGCUCAACCCCGGAAUUGCCUUUGAUACUGUUUUUCUUGAGUGCAGAAGAGGUAAGUGGAAUUCCGAGUGUAGAGGUGAAAUUCGUAGAUAUUCGGAGG